CAAUGAAAUAUAUAACCUUCAAGAUAAUGCCUUUUGAUCACCCACAGUCCUCUGAAUUCAUCUUCUCCAUCAGUGCUACAACCUAUUCCUAUGGUUGUGUGACGGGUGGGAGGGAGGCACAAGAGGGAGGGGAUGUGGGGAUAUACGUAUACAUAUAGCUGAUUCACCUUGUUAUACAGCAGAAACUAACACAACAUUGUAAAGCAAUGUUGUAAAGCAUUGUAUACUCCAAUAAAGAUGUUUAAAAAAAAAAA